UGUGAGAAGUGAUCCAGAAUAUGCCAGCAGGUCGCAACCAUCGUGAUGCCUGACUGUGCCAGAUCUCUCCACCACUUAAACCCUCAAUACACUAUAUGCAGCUGUAGAGGAAAGCCUGCUACCAUUUCUAUAGCAACUCAAAAACUUCACCUGAAACUACUUCUGGAGCAGGAGAGCAGAAUGAGAGAGUAAAUCGGGACAAAUCUGUAAAUCUGUGCAGAUCGGAAUAACGUCCACGGGUGUGAACUAGACAGGUCGCCCACGGCGGAAAGUGAUUCUAAUAGUGUUAAUGACACGUUUAUAUACACAAACUGAAGCUGAUUCAUUUCUUUAUAUAAAUGAGCUGAUACUAAGCUUUGGAUUUUAUUAAAACAUGAACGUAAUGUAGUCUAAAGCGCUUAAACAUAUCCCGUUUAAACCGUAAAGAAGAAUUUAUGUAAAUACUUUACCACAGCUGGGUAUGACACAAAAUAAGCAACCAUGCCUCAUUGUGAAAUGACCUCUAAAUUUCCUCUGCAGUGAACUGACGUCUCUUUUCAGAGAAGUGGGCCGACCUGUUUCUAGUCGGGGAACUGCAGCUGAUGGUGUUCACUGCGGAAACGGAAUUACCUCACGGCCCCGGUCCAGUGUCUAAACUCUCAGGACAGAUGCAGCGGGAUGUUUACCGGUGCCCUAGAGUCCAAACAAAGCACCUGGAUCAGCAACGCAUCCCGGUGCGGAACUGGGGACGCGGUAACACCGGCGCUCAUCGCAUUAUAGAACCCAUUAUAUAUUAUAUAUGCAUAUACAUAUAUCAAGGACGUAGAUUUGGGUAUGGAUGGUUAGAACAUGUCCCGACCAAUAUUGUUAGAGUACCGUGUGUGUUUAUGGGGACGGGGGGUUUCGGAUUGAUUUGGUCCGCAACAGUGUUGAAAUCAAAUCCACGCCCUUGACACAACCACACACACACACUGACAUUGCGAUUUGUAACAUGGAUGGACGGAGAUACAAAAUGCUUAAUCAGCUUAGAAUAAACAAUUAUGAGUAAGCACUUUUUGCCCCAGUAUGUAUGAAACCUGUUAUCGUUCAAAACUUCAGAGAAAACCGGGCAACCUGUCAUUCAUCACAGCAGACACGGAGAAGUAAUAAAAAAAUCAUCUCCCAGUUUAAUCAACGCCUUGCAGUGCUGUACAGCUCAGUACGUUUCUCUCAACUAUCUAUUCUUUAUAACCAGACAGGUAGACCUGCACAGCUGCGGUUGGUUCCAUUAAACGAGCAGGCGCCCCCACCCCCGUAGAAAUCCCUUGAUAGUGCCCCCUCUCGGCAAUACUCCGCAGCACCACCUGACCCUGUUUAGCUCCUCCCCCGGGUGCCUAGCAGCUUCUUCCUUUUACUGCCAGCCAGACAAAAUGGUGAGGCGUCCACCGCUUUAAUGUAAAGCGAUCCUUCGCCAUGCAGAUAAUAAAUCUCCGUAGGAUCGACGGGGAUCGGGAGUUGAAAGCCAUGCCAAGGCGCCCGGUAAAAUUUCAAGGCCCCUGAUCUGUGGAACAGGAAGGAGGAGGAUGUGAUCAAACAGCUGGAUGACUUAAAGAUGGAGCUGUCCCACCAGCCUGUCUCUACGGUAACUGGGGAUGGGGGCUGCCUGCAAGUUGUCCAAGAUAUGAGUGAUAUGUAUGAACUGCAUACACAUAUCCAGGAUGGUGGGGAGUAGUGUCUCUGGGUAGGUUGUUGUGUGUUUUGCAUGAAGCAAGUAGAGGAGACUUCACGGCAUAGUCAUUGGUGCUCAGAGCGUUACUGAAAGACUUUAGGUUCAGAUUGCUGAUGUCAAAGCAAAGUGCUGCCUGUAUAAUUGAAUUCCCUCCAUAAAAAAUGCCGCAAUGAUGUGUCUAACCUCAUAGCUAGGGAUGAUGUUCCAAAACUCACUCAAGCACUUGAUAUCAUUACCAGACUUCUGCUGGUCCUUCCAUGACUAAGGCGAGACUAAAGGGGGACAUAAUCCAGGUAUAGAUUUUAACAGUUCUGGAUGCUGUUCAACCAGAUAGUUACUUCAAUAUUGGUUCAAAUAACAGAAUUCAUGGCCAUAGGUGGAAAUUGGCAGGAGAACAUUUUACACUGGAUUUGAGAAAGCACAUCUUAACACAGCGUGUGGUUCGAGUAUGGAAUUGUCUUCCUGUUAGGUUUUAGCCUGCACUACACUUUAUGUUCCUUAAGGGGGUUGUUGAUUAGAUAUUGUCGUGUCUGCGAGGAUGAACUGGAGCUGAUGCCAUUGUCCCGGGCGUCAUUAGAGAUUUUGGGCCCUCAACCCAGACCAAUCCAACUAUGUUCCAAAUUUGCCACGUCAUUCUAGCACUACUAUCAUGGCAACAUGUACUCAUGAGGAUGUGCUGCUGCUGAACCUGGUCAUGGAUUCCAGUCAGUCUUGGUGUAUUUGGGGUGCAUUUUGGACCUUGGAAGAUGGGUCUGCCAGGUUGUUAACGGCAUGCUGUUCUGUUAUCCUGCAAGACCAUCACCCAGUUCUGCUCCUCACUCCCAUGGAGACAGUGUGAAUAUAUUCUUGCUAAAUUGAUCCUUCUGCCCUCCAUGGUGAGGAGGAUGGCCGGUCCUUCCAGAGGGUCACCAUUUUGGCUUGUGAGUCUGGAAACUCGGCCAACAGGUUUAGGCUCUUGGUGUGCUACAGAUGGCUUAUCGGCAGCUGCAUUGUCCGCAAAUCCAUGGCCAGAGUCCUGUCUGUUAUCCACCAGGCUCAGGAAGAACUUGAGGAAGCUUUAUAAGGGUAAAAGGUCCAAGCCAAGCCUCUGUAUCUGAGGCCCAAGAAGAUGCGGGUAAUACGGCGACGACUGAAGCUGCAUAGGGAGAGUUUGAUGACCAAGGAAACGCAGUGGAUGUUACGACUGUAUUCUACCCGUAUGUUUGCAGUCAAGAUGUAAAGAACCUGAAAAUGACAUUUCCAUGUAAAUAUAUGGUGAACUAAGCAAAAGUAGGACAGCACUAAAGUCAAAAGUAAACAAAAAACUUAAUAUAUUUUUUCAAAAAUGUGCUUUAUUUUUAAAACAAUCUCCAGCCCCCUUUUAAUAAAAUUCAUCUGAAACAAUGUACCCAUUAUAUGCUUCAAGCAGCAUAAGGCAAAGCUUAAUUGUCUCACUUUACCUGAUGUCCGACUUUUGCUGAACUCACCCUACUGUAUGGAAUAAAGUGAAAGAAAGUGCCUCUUGAUUCUUGAUCCUGCUGCUCUUUGGGCCAUCUCAGUCAGUGUGUAAUCCAGCUCUGCGCUCUGGCCUCCUUGGAAGGGACUCCUGUACAUCUGCGGCUUGUAUUUUGAUGAGGAGAUAGAGGAUGGGUGGAUGGAUGGUUUGAGGGCUUUUUGGACAACUGGUCAGGAUUGCAGAUGCAGUGUCUCUGGUUAUGGUGGGUGUCCUUUCUGUACUUGCUGAAUAAAGAUUAUGAAAUCUA